UUUUCUUAUCAAGCUUUGGUCUAUGAAAACUUCCUCAAAGGGAAGCGAAUACUCACCUACUGGGUUAUAUGAUUCUUCGUACGGUUUCUGGGAGCAGAAAUAUGUAAAAGGGAAUUCUGAAUCCCCUGCUCUAAUUUAUCCUGGGAAAUGGCGGGCUGGCUCAGCGCACAGAGAGGAGAGGUUCUGUUACCAUGGAGACCAGCCCACAGGAAAAGGAAAUAGAGACUGCUCUGAGAGGAAGCGACGUAAGAAGGACACUGGAUAGGGAAGGAUAAAGGCAAGCACACAUGAGAGAAGGGGCUUCGCUCUAAGGUUUCCUGAGGGCGCGGCGCUGCUGGCAGUUGCUGUGACAGUUGGCAGCUAUGAAAUCGGAUGGAAGAAUAGUGUACGGGUUGGGAGCUGCCCAUUGUUUAACUUGAAGGAAGCCAAGAAAGCCAGGAUAUUGAGAUGAAUGAAGAGUAUUCCAGCCAUGCAGAAGAAUAUGAGAAAAUGCCCAGAACCAAGACAUGGAGUCAGUAUCACUGGAUCAAAGAGUCUGUAAAAGGAAAUGAAAUGUUAGAAAACUGGGAAGGAUGGAGAGGUUUAGGUUAAGAAGAAUUUCAAUAGAGGGUUUUAUGUAAAAUACUAAAGGUGAUGGGAGGGGUGACAUGCUCAUUUAUGCCCUUUAGGGAAAAAAGAAACCAUUUUGGUGGCAGAAUGGAAUAUGAAUUGAAGUGAUGAACAAUUUGAGGCAGGCAGACUCACUAGUGAAAAUAUAAAAACAAAAACCUUCAAUGAAAUAUAAAUUUAAAGAUCUUUUAUUAAAGUCCUUUAAAAACAUUUUUAUAUGGAGUCAGAGAGAAACAACAGAAAGAAAUAGAGAGAUAAAGAGAGUCAGAAUAAGAGAAUGAAAGACAGAGAGAAAAUUUUUAGGCAGCUGUAGGCAGUUUUGGACUAGCCAUUGUGAAGAAGGCCCUGAUCUGCAAGGAACGAUAUGAUAAAAAGUCACCAUCUUUCUUGCUAACUAAUGGGCACAUCUAGAAUAGAAGAAGAGAACUAGGGAACAAAAAGAAAAAGUUACUGAAAAAGUGCUAGUUCCCUUCCCUUCUCUCAAAAUUAGGCUCAGAAAUGGGUUAAGUACAGUACUAGAAUGUGAACCAUGAAUUUCUUGCCAUUAAAACAAUUCUGAGAACCCUGGUAAUGGUUUCAGUUAGCAAAAUCCCUGUUAUGUUUGUGAGAGUUACAGGAAAAUGGAAGAGAUAGGAGGAAAUGAGGGCUGUGGUAGGAGUCUACUAAAAUGGAAAGAAACUGUGCUCCUCUUUGAAACGUCCUUCCAAUCCACACAGCAUUCAAGUUACCCCAGGAGUCCCAAAUCUGCCUAGAGGACAUCUUAAUGCCUUUCAUCACAGACAACAAGAAUUUAUAAGUAACAAUCUGUCAGUACUAGGAUUCAGGGUUUCUAGGAAAGAUUGGAUCAGUCAAUCAAUCAAUCAAUAGUCAAAAAAAGUUACUGACAAAAAAGAGUGACAAAGGUAGUUUGAGAGAGAUUCCUAUGUGUAUCGUUAUCAGAUAAGUAAUGUGAUUACUUGUUGAGCAGUUUUUCAAAAGAAGCCAUUAGGUAAAAUCCUAAAGAAAUGUAAUACUAUUAAAAAAGGAAAUGAUUCUGUAUGCUGCAGUCUUGAAAAUGUAUUUUCAAGCCAACCCUUUAAGAUAAGGUACUUUCCAGAGGAAAGGAAAAUGUAGAAUUUUUUUUGAUUAUUUGUGAGCAUUUGUUUAGGGUAUUUUUUGUAUGUUUAUGGUUUAAUGAACAAAAACAUUCAAGUUCUCAUUUGUGACAAUAGAAAAUAUCCUUUCCAUAUUUAAGAAAACAUCUUUUAGUAACAGCUGUGAACAGUGAAUAAAAUAUUGUUUUAAGUUAAAAAAAAAAA